CAUAAUCAAACAUUCUUUUAUUAGGUUCGUUGAGUAACUAAGAUAUAAAAUAAAAAGCUAAAAAUCAUAAUAAGAAGCUAUAUUUAUUUGCAAAAUAAAUUUAUCCAAUUAGAUUAUUAAAUUUUUAAAUGUUUGUUAUAUGUGUACAUAAAGUUUACCUUAUGUCCAAUAAAUAUAAUAAUACUAUAUUAAGCCUAACUAAUAAUUUGAGAUAUAAUG
rnacentral:lncRNA from 1 species